AACAUUACCUCGUCCCAGAGUUAUACAUGCAAGCCUCAGCGAAACAGUGAGUAGCCCACACGAUCAAACGAUCAACGGAGCCGGCAUCAGAAUCCAGGGUCAUCACCUGAGUCCGCCACGCCACGCCACGCCACGCCCACACGGGAAUCCAGCAGUAAUUAACAUUAGGCCAUAAACGAAAGUUCGACCUAGUCACGGACAUAAAGUCGGUAAAACUCGUGCCAGCUACCGCGGUUAUACGAGAGACUUAAGGUAACACCAACGGCGUAAAAAUGACCAGAACAUAUCAAAAAAUUAAGGACAAAAUCCAACCGGCUGUCUAACGCCAAGAUUAAAGAAACACACAAACCUUAACCACACGAUCUUUUUCAAUCAUAAAAGCUGGGAAACAAACUAGGAUUAGAUACCCUACUAUGCCCAGCCCCACAAGGCAACCACAGCCCGCCAGACAAGUACGAGCAAAAGCUUAAAACUCAAAGGACUUGGCGGUGUUCCAUAUCAGCCUAGAGGAGCCUGUCCCAUAAUCGAUGACCCCCGCUUAACCCUACCACCCUUAGCCAACCAGUCUAUAUACCGCCGUCGUCAGCCCACCUCGUAAGAGCACAAAAAUGAGCACAACAGUUAAUCCCCUAAAACGACAGGUCAAGGCGUAGCACAUGGGGUGGAGAAAGAUGGGCUACAUUUUCUAAGAUAGAACACACAAAAGAAUAGCAUGAAAAAACACUCUAAGGUGGAUUUAGCAGUAAGAUGAGAAACAAUACCCACCUGAACAAACGCACUGGAACGCGUACACACCGCCCGUCACCCCCAUUUCUUUCACCACAACUCAAUCACUAAAUCGCAAACACUCUUAAGAUGGGGCAAGUCGUAACAUGGUAAGUGUACUGGAAAGUGCACUUGACAC
rnacentral:ncRNA from 1 species